GGCCCGGCCGUCUCCUCAGGCCCCGGGGCCUCGCACCGGCUCCCUCGGGCUCUCCGCCCUCGCUGCGACCUGCCUCGUUCCUGUCACGGCCUCCACUGGCCGCCCCUCCUUGCCCGCCGUGUCUGAGCCGCCCGCUGUGCAGCCGGCGGUGGUUAACGGGGUUGCCGAGGUUCCGGCUGAGCAGCCGCGGAGCAGCGCGAGUACGAAUCGCGACUGCUGUGCAUCCUUAUUCCCAUGUUGCCAUCUCCUCUGCAGUGGUUCAAGUCUUUGCUCAUUCAUAUGCUGUAAACCAAACGGGGGAACCAAGUGACAUCCAGAUUCCUGUGCUGGUGCAACUGCAUCUUGAUCUCCUGCUGGUACUGUAUGGUAAGAAGGCAUUUACAAUGAGUCAUUCGGUAUAAUGACCAUUCUUCUUAAACCGUAGCUGACAUCAUUUAAUUGUAAGUCCUUGUACAAAAUAACAGAUGAAUAAACAUACAAUUUCUGCAACACAGUAAUUAGACAAGCCCUUCUAACAGAGACUUCUUUUUCUUUUCCUAUUCUGGAACUCAGAUUGCAGCUACCAUUUUCUCAUAAAUGUCUCCACUGACUGGCUCACAUAAAAUCUGUCCUCAUAUGUUCCUGUCUAGGAAGUUCUUCCAAGCUUGCACAGCUGCCAAAAAAUAAUGUCUUGGAAAGUCAUGUCCUCUGCUUGAAAUUCCCCCUCUUAAGAAGUCUUCUGCCCCAUCUGAUUUCAUAAUAUCCCACUUAGAUUUUGAACGGUCAUGAAGACGCACAUUCUUCAGCAUACGUUUAUCUGGAACUCAUCAUCAUUUGAUCAGUGGCUUGAAACAAUUUUUUAAUUACUGGAGAGUCAACAAGCCAAAUUUAUAUCUGAGGUAAGUGGGUGCAUCUUCAAAUAAGUCAUGAGAAGUCUGAGGAAGACCUUCACACAGAAAAUAAAGCAUUGGAUUUGCCGUCCAGUGCUUGACUCUCACUGAUCUUCUGCCUUUCUUUUUGCAGGCUGAACGUAAACCAAGGGUUUAAACAUUUUUAAUAUGUUAAUGAUUCUUUCCCCAGCUACAAGGAGAACAAGUGGCAAAGUGUUUUGAAGCAGAAAUGUUAGUGUGAGAUUUUCAACCCUCCUGUAGAGCUAAAAGAGUUGUACCCGUUCCUCCUAGAUAGGAGUGAGCUUGUUCUUGAACCUCGGAAGCGUAGUCAAGAAGGCAAUAUAAAAAUAAACAAGUAGUCCUUCACCUCACCUCCACCUUGGAGAUUUGAACUCAGAUUGCUACUAAAAUAGGCAUAUUCUAACCUUGCAUUCUAAAAAAAAAAUAAAAAAAUAAAA